CUGAUAGCAGACUACUCCGAUCCGGAUCCGUUUUACCUCCGGCAGAUCCGCGCUACAGUCAGGUCUGUUUAGUGGAUCUGGUCCGGCUUCACUCCGGGUUCGGGUUAUGAUUGUGACUCACGUUCAGAUCCGUUUUACUGACGGUAAAUCCGCAUAACAGUCCGUCUCAUUUCACGCCUUCAAUAUGACUUCGGCACGGAGUCAGAUACCAGAUGUGAGUUCAGUGUCAGCUCAGUGUCGUUUUGCGGAUCCGGGCCGCAUUGGCGGAGCGGCACAGGAGCGGGAGAAAUUCAAACUCAGCGCGAGGACCAACUGACAUCUGCUGAAUCUGCGCUUCAGGGCUGCUGAGGGCUGGGGACCUGAGAUAAGGUGUAAUCAUUUACCCAUCAAAUCACCUAACAAGCAGGAUUUGGUAUCCGCAAAAUGGUUCGAGGUCCUCAGCCCUCGCCUCCCCCAGCACAGAGGAAAACUACCAAGGGCGGUACUCUCAUUAUAGGAGAUUCAAUUGUUAGACAUUUAAAAGUAUCUAAGAGUAAUGGCACAAUUUCAUGUCUUCCAGAUGCUUGCAUGCUGGUAGUCGGCAAGCGGCUCCCUGGGGCGCAUUGCCAAAGCAGGAACCCCGGCACCAUCGCCCUCCAUGUGGGGAUGAGCUUUCGGGAGCGACCGGCCCCAUUCCACAGAGACAGGCUUCUCUCUGUGAACAUCGAGGCGGUGCUACGCUGAGACUGACUGUCUCUACCCAGUCACACCAGCCAAGUAGGCUGCACUGUAGUGGUGUUAAGUGUCCAAGAAUGCUCUCAUCAGUGGAGGCACAGCUGGCUGCAAAAAACGUCUGUGUCUGCAUGUUUAUAUUAUGUGAAUUAAAAAUGGUUUUAUUAUUAAAAUAAUUGUA